UAAUACGUAGGUGGCGAGCGUUGUCCGGAUUUACUGGGCGUAAAGCGCGCGCAGGCGGUUCGUUAAGUCCGGUGUGAAAGCUCCCGGCUCAACUGGGAGAGGUCAUUGGAUACUGGCGGACUCGAGGGAUGCAGAGGAAGGUGGAAUUCCCGGUGUAGUGGUGAAAUGCGUAGAGAUCGGGAGGAACACCAGUGGCGAAGGCGGCCUUCUGGGCAUUUCCUGACGCUGAGGCGCGAAAGCGUGGGGAGCGAACCGGAUUAGAUACCCGGGUAGUCCACGCUGUAAACGAUGCUCACUAGAUGUGGGGGGUAUCGACCCCCUCCGCGUCGAAGCUAACGCGAUAAGUGAGCCGCCUGGGGACUACGGCCGCAAGGCUA
rnacentral:rRNA from 1 species